rnacentral:rRNA from 1 species
AUAGAGUCAAGUGAAUAAGUGCAUCAGGCGGAUGCCUUGGCGAUGAUAGGCGACGAAGGACGUGUAAGCCUGCGAAAAGCGCGGGGGAGCUGGCAAUAAAGCUAUGAUUCCGCGAUGUCCGAAUGGGGAAACCCACUGCAUUCUGUGCAGUAUCCUAAGUUGAAUACAUAGGCUUAGAGAAGCGAACCCGGAGAACUGAACCAUCUAAGUACCCGGAGGAAAAGAAAUCAACCGAGAUUCCGCAAGUAGUGGCGAGCGAACGCGGAGGAGCCUGUACGUAAUAACUGUCGAGAUAGAAGAACAAGCUGGGAAGCUUGACCAUAGCGGGUGACAGUCCCGUAUUCGAAAUCUCAACAGCGGUACUAAGCGUACGAAAAGUAGGGCGGGACACGUGAAAUCCUGUCUGAAUAUGGGGGGACCAUCCUCCAAGGCUAAAUACUCAUCAUCGACCGAUAGUGAACCAGUACCGUGAGGGAAAGGCGAAAAGAACCCCGGGAGGGGAGUGAAACAGAACCUGAAACCUGAUGCAUACAAACAGUGGGAGCGCCCUAGUGGUGUGACUGCGUACCUUUUGUAUAAUGGGUCAACGACUUACAUUCAGUAGCGAGCUUAACCGGAUAGGGGAGGCGUAGGGAAACCGAGUCUUAAUAGGGCGAUGAGUUGCUGGGUGUAGACCCGAAACCGAGUGAUCUAUCCAUGGUCAGGUUGAAGGUGCCGUAACAGGUACUGGAGGACCGAACCCACGCAUGUUGCAAAAUGCGGGGAUGAGCUGUGGGUAGGGGUGAAAGGCUAAACAAACUCGGAGAUAGCUGGUUCUCCCCGAAAACUAUUUAGGUAGUGCCUCGAGCAAGACACUGAUGGGGGUAAAGCACUGUUAUGGCUAGGGGGUUAUUGCAACUUACCAACCCAUGGCAAACUCAGAAUACCAUCAAGUGGUUCCUCGGGAGACAGACAGCGGGUGCUAACGUCCGUUGUCAAGAGGGAAACAACCCAGACCGCCGGCUAAGGUCCCAAAUGAUAGAUUAAGUGGUAAACGAAGUGGGAAGGCACAGACAGCCAGGAUGUUGGCUUAGAAGCAGCCAUCAUUUAAAGAAAGCGUAAUAGCUCACUGGUCGAGUCGUCCUGCGCGGAAGAUGUAACGGGGCUCAAAUCUAUAACCGAAGCUGCGGAUGCCGGUUUACCGGCAUGGUAGGGGAGCGUUCUGUAGGCUGAUGAAGGUGCAUUGUAAAGUGUGCUGGAGGUAUCAGAAGUGCGAAUGUUGACAUGAGUAGCGAUAAAGCGGGUGAAAAGCCCGCUCGCCGAAAGCCCAAGGUUUCCUACGCAACGUUCAUCGGCGUAGGGUGAGUCGGCCCCUAAGGCGAGGCAGAAAUGCGUAGUCGAUGGGAAACAGGUUAAUAUUCCUGUACUUGAUUCAAAUGCGAUGUGGGGACGGAGAAGGUUAGGUUGGCAAGCUGUUGGAAUAGCUUGUUUAAGCCGGUAGGUGGAAGACUUAGGCAAAUCCGGGUUUUCUUAACACCGAGAAGUGAUGACGAGUGUCUACGGACACGAAGCAACCGAUACCACGCUUCCAGGAAAAGCCACUAAGCUUCAGUUUGAAUCGAACCGUACCGCAAACCGACACAGGUGGGCAGGAUGAGAAUUCUAAGGCGCUUGAGAGAACUCGGGAGAAGGAACUCGGCAAAUUGAUACCGUAACUUCGGGAGAAGGUAUGCCCUCUAAGGUUAAGGACUUGCUCCGUAAGCCCCGGAGGGUCGCAGAGAAUAGGUGGCUGCGACUGUUUAUUAAAAACACAGCACUCUGCCAACACGAAAGUGGACGUAUAGGGUGUGACGCCUGCCCGGUGCCGGAAGGUUAAUUGAAGAUGUGCAAGCAUCGGAUCGAAGCCCCGGUAAACGGCGGCCGUAACUAUAACGGUCCUAAGGUAGCGAAAUUCCUUGUCGGGUAAGUUCCGACCCGCACGAAUGGCGUAACGAUGGCCACACUGUCUCCUCCCGAGACUCAGCGAAGUUGAAGUGGUUGUGAAGAUGCAAUCUACCCGCUGCUAGACGGAAAGACCCCGUGAACCUUUACUGUAGCUUUGCAUUGGACUUUGAAGUCACUUGUGUAGGAUAGGUGGGAGGCUUGGAAGCAGAGACGCCAGUCUCUGUGGAGUCGUCCUUGAAAUACCACCCUGGUGUCUUUGAGGUUCUAACCCAGACCCGUCAUCCGGGUCGGGGACCGUGCAUGGUAGGCAGUUUGACUGGGGCGGUCUCCUCCCAAAGCGUAACGGAGGAGUUCGAAGGUUACCUAGGUCCGGUCGGAAAUCGGACUGAUAGUGCAAUGGCAAAAGGUAGCUUAACUGCGAGACCGACAAGUCGGGCAGGUGCGAAAGCAGGACAUAGUGAUCCGGUGGUUCUGUAUGGAAGGGCCAUCGCUCAACGGAUAAAAGGUACUCCGGGGAUAACAGGCUGAUUCCGCCCAAGAGUUCAUAUCGACGGCGGAGUUUGGCACCUCGAUGUCGGCUCAUCACAUCCUGGGGCUGUAGUCGGUCCCAAGGGUAUGGCUGUUCGCCAUUUAAAGUGGUACGUGAGCUGGGUUUAAAACGUCGUGAGACAGUUUGGUCUCUAUCUGCAGUGGGCGUUGGAAGUUUGACGGGGGCUGCUCCUAGUACGAGAGGACCGGAGUGGACGAACCUCUGGUGUACCGGUUGUAACGCCAGUUGCAUAGCCGGGUAGCUAAGUUCGGAAGAGAUAAGCGCUGAAAGCAUCUAAGCGCGAAACUCGCCUGAAGAUGAGACUUCCCUUGCGGUUUAACCGCACUAAAGGGUCGUUCGAGACCAGGACGUUGAUAGGUGGGGUGUGGAAGCGCGGUAACGCGUGAAGCUAACCCAUACUAAUUGCCCGUGAGGCUUGACUCUAU